GAUGACCAUGUUGUAGUGAAGCCUACCUC
rnacentral:piRNA from 1 species